rnacentral:rRNA from 1 species
CCUACGGGCGGCAGCAGUGAGGAAUAUUGGUCAAUGGACGAGAGUCUGAACCAGCCAAGUAGCGUGAAGGAUGACUGCCCUAUGGGUUGUAAACUUCUUUUAUAUGGGAAUAAAACGUUCCACGUGUGGGAUUUUGUAUGUACCAUAUGAAUAAGGAUCGGCUAACUCCGUGCCAGCAGCCGCGGUAAUACGGAGGAUCCGAGCGUUAUCCGGAUUUAUUGGGUUUAAAGGGAGCGUAGGUGGAUUGUUAAGUCAGUUGUGAAAGUUUGCGGCUCAACCGUAAAAUUGCAGUUGACACUGGCAGUCUUGAGUACAGUAGAGGUGGGCGGAAUUCGUGGUGUAGCGGUGAAAUGCUUAGAUAUCACGAAGAACUCCGAUUGCGAAGGCAGUUCACUGGACUGCAACUGACACUGAGGCUCGAAAGUGUGGGUAUCAAACAGGAUUAGAUACCCGAGUAGUC